CUUUCUUUAGUAGUAGGGGAAAUUUAUUAAUUUUGGUCUGUCUGUCCACUCAUCUGUUUGUCAUUCUGUCUGUGUGUAACACUUGUUUGCAUGUAAUAUCUCUUGAAGGCUUCAUCCACCUGUAAGGAAAUUAUUAUACCAAAACUCCCCAAGACCUAUAAAGACCCCAGUUGAUUUUAAGAUCAAAGGAUUUUAAGGUCAAGGUCAAUACCAGGAAGCUGGGAGUGUGGUAUGUUAUCAGUAGGACUGAGAUAACACUAUCUAGAGGAGGGUAUUAUCAACAGACCACAGUACACAGGAAUCAACUAAAACACUAGUCUACCUUUUAGGGAUUAAUGUGACCUGUUAUUAAAUAGGAUUUGAGGUCUGGAGGUGAUGCCAUGGACUGUAGGCUGUUACUGAUUGUCAGUUUGAUUGUGCCUGUCUCCAGUGCAAUUACUGAGAGCCACCAGCAGCUUAGGGCAAACAG